rnacentral:rRNA from 1 species
CCUACGGGAGACAGCAGUGGGGAAUAUUGCGCAAUGGGCGAAAGCCUGAUGCAGCGACGCCGCGUGAGGGAUGAAGGUCUUCGGAUUGUAAACCUCUGUUAGUAGGGAAGAACAUUCACUGUGCUAAUCAACAGUGAAUUGACGGUACCUGCAAAGAAAGCACCGCCUAACUCCGUGCCAGCAGCCGCGGUAAUACGGAGGGUGUGAGCGUUAAUCGGAAUUACUGGGCGUAAAGCGUUCGUAGGCGGUAUGUCAAGUCAAGUGUGAAAGCCCCGGGCUCAACGUUGGAACUGCCUUUGAAACUGGCAGACUGGAGUGUGUGAGAGGAUAGAGGAAUUCCAGGUGUAGGAGUGAAAUCCGUAGAUAUCUGGAGGAACAUCAGUGGCGAAGGCGGCUAACUGGAACAUAACUGACGCUGAGGAGCGAAAGCGUGGGUAGCAAACAGGAUUAGAUACCCCUGUAGUC